UACGAAGGGAGCUAGCAUUGUUCGGAAUCACUGGGCGUAAAGCGCACGUAGGCGGAUGUGUCAGUCAGGGGUGAAAUCCCGGAGCUCAACUUCGGAACUGCCUUUGAUACAGCACAUCUGGAGUCCGGAAGAGGUGGGUGGAAUUCCUAGUGUAGAGGUGAAAUUCGUAGAUAUUAGGAAGAACACCGGUGGCGAAAGCGACCUUCUGGGUGAGUCCUGACGCUGAGGUACGAAAGCGUGGGGAGCAAACGGG
rnacentral:rRNA from 1 species